rnacentral:lncRNA from 1 species
GCCGAGGGCUUCGUCUUCCCAGCAACAGGCGCUCGUGCCUCAGAGGCACGACAGAUUCCUAGGCGCUGCUUGAGUGUGACGUGUUUCCCAACUGCCACUACCCUCUUCAAAGCUGCCUCUUCAAGCCUCAGGAGGACAGUGCUCCUAAACUGGCCUGCACUUUACAUCACAUGGGGAUCUUCUAAAAAUUCCAAGCCCAGAGCAUACCCCAGGCCAAUUAAAUCACAAUUCCCUAGCGGUGGGAAACAGGUAUCAGUAGUUUUGGAAAUUCUCCAGGUGAUUCCAAUGUGCAGAAAAGUUUGGGAACCACUGCCCUAAGGCCUUGCUGCUCAAAGUGUGGACUGUGGACCAGCAGCAUCACUAGAAAUCAGAACCUCUAACUACUUCAAUCAGAGAUCUCUGGGUGAUUUGACACACAUUAAGAUUUGGGAAGCACUGUUUAGAGGCCUGAAUGGAUAUGGGUAUCUUGAUUUAUGAGGACCACGUGUUUAAAGGAUGUCCUUGGAUGAGGAUAACAACGACAGGAUGGAUUGUGUGACCUUCCACCAGGGGUAGAAUCCGUUCAUCUCUCUUCACCUCCGGUGCCACCAUCUCGGUCCAGUCUGCCAUUGUCCCACCUGAUCUCGAGAUGCAUCCUGCCACCAGGCUCAGUCUCUUCAAUCUUCUCCACACGACUGCUGAGGGAUCCUUCUCAGAUGCCAGAGAUUCAGUGAUGUCCCGCAGCCUGUAGGAUAAAGCUCCCCCUCCUUACUAGUGCCCUGGCAAGGCCUCAGAGAAGCCGCGUUAUCUCCAGGCUUCCUUUCUCACCACUUGCAUGCUGUCCAAGCACGGGGAGCUUCCUUCAUCACUCAUGCCUGCCCAUCUCUCACUUCCCUCCGACCUCCCAUACGCUCUUCUCUUGGUUUGCGUCACUCUCCCCUUCUUGCUCCUACUGUCCCUCAAAACUAGCAAAUGUCAACUUAUCUGUUAGGUGGCAGCUUAGGGGUCAGUUCCUCCAGAGAGCUUGCCAGACCGCUCCGGUUGGCCAAGUGGCCCUGCUCCAUACUCUGCCAUCCCCUGGGCUUCCCUCCUCACAGCGCUUACCACAUGUUACUGCCGUUACCACAAUUCUUUAAUUAAUCUUCCCCAGCAGCGUGCAAGCGCUGAGGGCAUGCUCCAUGGAUCUCAUCCACCACCGUAUCCACAGCACCCAGCGCAGUGCCCAGCACAAGGCGGGUGCCAAUAAAUCUUUCUUGACUGAAUCAGUAAAUUUCCCACCACUGCUAUGAAGCCGCAGAAAUAGUAGUGGAAGUUGCUAUGGCAUUUCCCUGGGUCAGACGUUUAUUGGUCCUGAUAACAUUUCACAUAUUAAACGUAAAUUUUUGACUUGAACAAAAGACUUAUUGCUUUCUAGCAUGCCAAUAUGUUUUUAUUUUUAUUUCUCUCGCACCUUUCACAGCUUCCCUGUAUCCUAUGAAUUGGCUUUGAAAUACUGCCUCCCCCC